rnacentral:RNase_P_RNA from 2 species
AUAACCGGGCAACCGAGCGUGUAAACGUUAGGAAAGUCCAUGCUAGCACAAGCUGCGAUGCUUGUAGUGAUUGUGAUAGAGGAAACAAUAACUCUAUGUACACAGUAAUGUGUAACGGCUGAGAACGUACCUGUUAAAUGGUAUUAGUAUCUUUAAAAGUGCCACAGAGACGAGCUGGAUAGGAAACUAUUCAGGUGGAACGGGUAAACCCCUCAAGCUAGAAACCCAAACUUGGUAGGGGCACUCCAACGCGAGAAUUUUGAAUCGACAAUGGAGCUGCUUUAAGCAGAGAUAAAUGGUUGCCGCCCUUUAUGGGUACAGAACAUGGCUUAUAAGU